GGGCCCUUAGCUCAUCUGGUAGAGCGCCUGCUUUGCAUGCAGGAGGUAAGGAGUUCGAAUCUCCUAGGGUCCA
rnacentral:tRNA from 1 species